GAUGAACGCUGGCGGCGUGCCUAAUACAUGCAAGUCGAGCGAACAGACGAGGAGCUUGCUCCUCUGACGUUAGCGGCGGACGGGUGAGUAGCACGUGGAUAACCUACCUAUAAGACUGGGAUAACUUCGGGAAACCGGAGCUAAUACCGGAUAAUAUAUUUAACCGCAUGGUUCAAUAGUGAAAGACGGUUUCGCUGUCACUUAUAGAUGGAUCCGCGCCGCAUUAGCUAGUUGGUAAGGUAACGGCUUACCAAGGCGACGAUGCGUAGCCGACCUGAGAGGGUGAUCGGCCACACUGGAACUGAGACACGGUCCAGACUCCUACGGGAGGCAGCAGUAGGGAAUCUUCCGCAAUGGGCGAAAGCCUGACGGAGCAACGCCGCGUGAGUGAUGAAGGUCUUCGGAUCGUAAAACUCUGUUAUUAGGGAAGAACAAAUGUGUAAGUAACUAUGCACGUCUUGACGGUACCUAAUCAGAAAGCCACGGCUAACUACGUG
rnacentral:rRNA from 1 species